rnacentral:rRNA from 1 species
GCGCGAAGGAUCAUUAGCGAAGCUCGCGAAUGCGUGUCCGGUCUGAUGCUGCCCAGCGAUGGGAUGUGCUCGUCCGGAUGCGUGUCCCUUCUCUAUUCCACCCCUUUGUGAACCAAGUGUGCGAGCCGAAGAGAGAUCGGAGGCUCGCAUGCAACCCUUAACAUACCCCAAUGAAGUAUCAGAAUGUACCUUGCGUUAACUCGCACAAAUACAACUUUCAACAACGGAUCUCUUGGCCCCUCGCAUCGAUGAAGAACGCAGCGAAAUGCGAUAAGUAAUGUGAAUUGCAGAAUUCAGUGAAUCAUCGAAUCUUUGAACGCACCUUGCGCCCCUUGACAUUCCGAGGGGCACGCCUGUUUGAGUGUCGUGAACUCCUCCACCCUCCACCUUUUUCGGAAGGCGUUGGGCUGGGAUUUGGGAGCUUGCGGGUCCCUGGCCGAUCCGCUCUCCUUUGAAUACAUUAGCGAAGCCCUUUGCGGCCUUGGUGUGAUAGUCAUCUACGCCUCGGUUUAGCGAACAUACGGAAU